rnacentral:lncRNA from 1 species
UUAUUUUAUAUUGAAAAUAAUAAGUAUAAUAUGUUUCUUUUUUGUCAACUUUUAGUUUAUUGCCCAAGAUAAUAAGAAUACAAAGUACAUGCGUUACAACUUUACAACCUAUUACUACACGUGUACAAUCAAAGACAUAUACUGAAAACACAUGUUAAGGAAUAAGACUAGCAAUCUCAAAAAGCUAGUUCCGGUGGCCCUCCGCCAUCUUCACCGGGUAGAUUGCCCGAUCAAUACCCAUCUUCAUUCUUCUUUUCCUCAACUUUAAACACUAUUAUUUGCACUCUUGAUUAUCACUUCCGCCAUUAACCAUGCUCUUGAGUCAAAUUUCCCCGCAAACUCCGAUUGUUAAUUCCGGGAAAAACUCGAUCAACUUUGAGUAGACCCUAUAUCGGACCAUCUUUGGAAUAAAGAUGCCAAUUUUGUUGAAUCCCUCUGAUCCUCCUUGAUGUCUGAGAAACUAUCUCCAAUAACAUAUAAAAGGAGAAAGAUUUAUACUCAUAAGAAAGAGGAUUGAGGAUAACCAGAGAGAAGAAGAGCUUCAACACAGUCACACGGGAUAGAGAAUUAAGAUGCAAAAGGGGCUUAGAUCCGCUAAUCAGAAACAUAGAUCCGCUAAUCGGAAUACAUUGAGUCGAUCUAGGGAUCGAAGAUAUCUUACAACAAAAAAACAAAAAAGAGUUAGUGACUGGCGGCAAGCCACCGGCCACUGGAAGCGAAAUUCUUAUUUGUAAAAACUUUAGAGAGAGGUCGGAGGAAAAGGAAAAUCGAGCAGAGUGAAAUAUAAUAUGUUUUUUUUUGAUGAAAUUUCAAAUUUAUCAAACUAUCAAAAGAAUGUUAUAUACAAAUCAGAUCCUGUUAAGAGCCGAAAAACUCUUCUAUAGAUAUAAAAGCUGCUCAUAAGUUGUUACUUCAAACCAUCUU